GCGGCAGGCCUAACACAUGCAAGUCGAACGGUAACAUAGAUUGCUUGCAAUCUGAUGACGAGUGGCGCACGGGUGCGUAACGCGUAUGCAAUCUACCUUUUACAGGAGAAUAGCCCAGAGAAAUUUGGAAUAAUGCUCCAUAAUAUCAUUUAUCAGCAUUGGUUUAUGAUUAAAGCUCCGGCGGUAAAAGAUGAGCAUGCGUUCUAUUAGCUAGUAGGUGAGGUAACGGCUCACCUAGGCUACGAUAGAUAGGGGCCCUGAGAGGGGGAUCCCCCACACUGGUACUGAGACACGGACCAGACUCCUACGGGAGGCAGCAGUGAGGAAUAUUGGACAAUGGAGGAAACUCUGAUCCAGCCAUGCCGCGUGCAGGAUGACUGCCCUAUGGGUUGUAAACUGCUUUUAUAUAGGAAGAAACACUCCCACGUGUGGGGGCUUGACGGUACUAUAUGAAUAAGGAUCGG
rnacentral:rRNA from 1 species